rnacentral:snRNA from 1 species
GUAUGCCCGUGGUACGCCUGCA